AGUGAACGCUGGCGGUAGGCCUAACACAUGCAAGUCGAACGGCAGCACAGUAAGAGCUUGCUCUUACGGGUGGCGAGUGGCGGACGGGUGAGGAAUACAUCGGAAUCUACUUUUUCGUGGGGGAUAACGUAGGGAAACUUACGCUAAUACCGCAUACGACCUACGGGUGAAAGCAGGGGAUCUUCGCACCUUGCGCGAUUGAAUGAGCCGAUGUCGGAUUAGCUAGUUGGCGGGGUAAAGGCCCACCAAGGCGACGAUCCGUAGCUGGUCUGAGAGGAUGAUCAGCCACACUGGAACUGAGACACGGUCCAGACUCCUACGGGAGGUAGCAGUGGGGAAUAUUGGACAAAGGGCGCAAGCCUGAUCCAGCCAUACCGCGUGGGUGAAGAAGGCCUUCGGGUUGUAAAGCCCUUUUGUUGGGAAAGAAAAGCAGCAGGUUAAUACCCCGCUGUUCUGACGGUACCCAAAGAAUAAGCACCGGCUAACUUCGUG
rnacentral:rRNA from 1 species